rnacentral:snRNA from 1 species
GUGCUCGCUGUGGCAGCACAUAUACUAAAAUCGGAACAAUACGGAGGUUAGCAUGGCCGCUGCACAAGGAUGACCCGCAAAUCUGUGAAGCUUCCAUAUUUUCA